UUUACCUAAUUGGUAAAUAGUCAUGUCAGUGCAUGUUCAUAUUUUUCUUGAAUAACUACCCAAGUUCUCAUCAAACUCUAACCUGCUAGUACUUUUCUUCCCUCCUCUCUCCCACACUACAGUUGACGACGGAGAUCGGGUCCCAAGAGCACCACACAAUCGUUGAAAGGUUGUCGAAAGGUCGGGAUACGGAUGUGUGUAUGAAAACGGCAACGUAUGAUGGUCAGUAUGUACAACUAGGGACGGGGGUUGCAAUCAGCUGGAGUGGGUGGUUUGCUAAAACUUUACGUUUUUAAACAUUUAGAGUUAAAUGUCAUUUUAGUCCCUCUGGUUUGGACCAUUUUGCCGGUUUAGUCCAAAGGUUUCAUUUUUUGCUUGUCGGUCCAAAAUUGUUUCACGGUUGCCAUUUUAGUCCACGCGGUUAAGUUGAUCAAUUAUUUAUACUAACGAGAAGCGCAAUUGGGUGAUUUUAUAAGGCCGAAUUGUCCUUCUAGUUAACAGAAUUAAAUAAAAAAAGACCGAAUUGACCUUCUCGUUAACAGAAAAAUGGAUAAAAUUAACCCAGUGGACUAAAUGGCAACGAUGAAACCUUUUUGGACCUAUAGGUGAAAAAUGAAACAUUUGGACUAAACUGACAAAUUGGCCCACACCACAAGGACUAAAAUGGAAGUUAACUCAAACCUUUAUUUAACUUGUGGUUCUAGUUCCUGAUGGCUUUUAACUUUAUUUUACGCUGCAUCGUAAACUGAC